GAUGAACGCUGGCGGCGUGCCUAAUACAUGCAAGUCGAGCGAACAGACGAGGAGCUUGCUCCUCUGACGUUAGCGGCGGACGGGUGAGUAACACGUGGAUAACCUACCUAUAAGACUGGGAUAACUUCGGGAAACCGGAGCUAAUACCGGAUAAUAUAUUGAACCGCAUGGUUCAAUAGUGAAAGACGGUUUUGCUGUCACUUAUAGAUUGAUCCGCGCCGCAUUAGCUAGUUGGUAAGGUAACGGCUUACCAAGGCAACGAUGCGUAGCCGACCUGAGAGGGUGAUCCGCCACACUGGAACUGAGACACGGUCCAGACUCCUACGGGAGGCAGCAGUAGGGAAUCUUCCGCAAUGGGCGAAAGCCUGACGGAGCAACGCCGCGUGAGUGAUGAAGGUCUUCGGAUCGUAAAACUCUGUUAUUAGGGAAGAACAAAUGUGUAAGUAACUAUGCACGUCUUGACGGUACCUAAUCAGAAAGCCACGGCUAACUACGUG
rnacentral:rRNA from 1 species